GACGAACGCUGGCGGCGUGCUUAACACAUGCAAGUCGAACGGGAUUUAGUAAACAGAAACCUCGGUGGAAGAUUACUAAUGAGAGUGGCGAACGGGUGAGUAACGCGUGAGCAACCUGCCUAUGACAGUGGGAUAGCCUCGGGAAACCGGGAUUAAUACCGCAUAAAAUCGUAGAAACACAUGUUUUAACGGUCAAAGAUUUAUCGGUCAUAGAUGGGCUCGCGUCUGAUUAGCUAGUUGGUGAGAUAACAGCCCACCAAGGCGACGAUCAGUAGCCGGUCUGAGAGGAUGAACGGCAACAUUGGAACUGAGACACGGUCCAAACUCCUACGGGAGGCAGCAGUGGGGAAUAUUGCACAAUGGGGGAAACCCUGAUGCAGCGACGCCGCGUGAACGAAGAAGGUAUUCGUAUCGUAAAGUUCUGUCCUAUGGGAAGAUAAUGACAGUACCAUAGAAGAAAGCUCCGGCUAAAUACGU
rnacentral:rRNA from 1 species